rnacentral:rRNA from 1 species
UACGUAGGGAGCAAGCGUUGUCCGGAAUCAUUGGGCGUAAAGCGCGCGUAGGCGGCCCUGUAAGUCCGCUGUGAAAGUCAAAGGCUCAACCUUUGAAAGCCGGUGGAUACUGCAGGGCUAGAGUCCGGAAGAGGCGAGUGGAAUUCCUGGUGUAGCGGUGGAAUGCGCAGAUAUCAGGAGGAACACCAAUAGCGAAGGCAGCUCGCUGGGACGGUACUGACGCUAAGGCGCGAAAAGCG